rnacentral:rRNA from 1 species
UCGCCUGUUUAUCAAAAACAUAGCUAUGUGGAACUAUACAUAGUGCUUUCUGCUCAAUGAUUAUAUUAAAUAGCCGCAGUACUUUGACUGUGCAAAGGUAGCAAAAUCAAUAGGCUUUUAAUUGAAGUCGGGUAUGAAUGAAUUAAUGGGUAGUAGCUGUCUUAAAAGUUAGCAUUGAAAUUAAUAAUUAAGUGAAAAUGCUUAAAUUUAUAUAAAAGACGAGAAGACCCUUGAAAUUUUCUAUAAUGAAUCUUCUAGUAUAUUUUGUUGGGGCGACAGCGUAUCAUGUAACAUACGUUAACUAAUUAGAUGCUUUUAUGCGGUAAAAUUAAAUUACUCAAGGGAUAACAGCAUAAUAUAAUGAAAGUUUAUGACCUCGAUGUUGGACUAGGGACCUGGUUAAUUAAAAGCCAACCAAGCAAUGCUCUGUNCGAGCUUNNUUCCCUACAUGAUCUGGAUUCACACCGGA